CGUAAAGUGUCAACGUGCAAGGUAAUCUACCGAAGAGUCUGGAAUAACCUGCCGAAAGGCGGGCUAAUACUGGAUAGAGCGACGGGAUCCAAUUGGCCUUACGGGCCCCAGUUUGGGUGUGCUAGCUCGGUGGCAUGCAUGCAUGCAGCUCGAUCGGAUACGGCAAUCGGACUACGAUGCGCAUGCGCUAUCGAUAAGGGGCCAAGUGCAGUGACAAGUGCAGUGGCAAACGCCAACUUUGACAGUGCAGUAAUUGGGUCUUUCGGGAAUUAGGACAACUAUCCCAUUGCCAAUAGACCCUCAAUUCCCAAGGACCACGGCCAUGAUGUUCCAGAGUUGCAUUGGUCCGGCGUAGGAUAGCGGAUGUCGGAACCUUACUUCCAAUUCAAUUUGGAAAAACCCAGUUGUGGUCCCACCGGUACCAACCGGUUUAACCAACAACUGUGAAGCCAGUGAUGCAGUGUCUCACGGCGAAUGCGGUGGAGGUACUUGCGUCGUAAGGCCGGAUGGCUUUGGCGAUGCAGUGACGGGAUGUUUAUCUGCAAGGGAGGAAGCAAUUCCCCUUGCUCUUCGAUGAGCCUGCGUCUCAUUAGCUAGUUGGCGGGGUAAUGGCCCACCAAGGCUUUGAUGAGUAGCUGGUCUGAGAGGAUGAUCAGCCACACUGGAACUGAAACACGGUCCAGACUCCUACGGGAGGCAGCAGUGGGGAAUCUUGCGCAAUGGACGAAGUCUGACGCAGCCACGCCGGUGAGUGAAGAAGGUCUUCGGGUUGUAAAGCUCUGUCUGGCGGGACGAACAUCCAUGAGGUGAAUAACCUCGUGGACUGACGGUACAAGGCCCAGUUGAGUGCCCGGUUUACGUUAAGGUCAGUGCAGUGCA
rnacentral:rRNA from 1 species